UCGAUUUGGAGUUUGUUGCCUAGAGUGAUGGGCUCCGAAGCUAACGCGAUAAAUCGACCGCCUGGGGAGUACGGCCGCAAGGUUAAAACUCAAAUGAAUUGACGGGGGCCCGCACAAGCGGUGGAGCAUGUGGUUUAAUUCGAUGCAACGCGAAGAACCUUACCUGGUCUUGACAUCCACAGAAUCUUGCAGAGAUGUGAGAGUGCCUUCGGGAACUGUGAGACAGGUGCUGCAUGGCUGUCGUCAGCUCGUGUUGUGAAAUGUUGGGUUAAGUCCCGCAACGAGCGCAACCCUUAUCCUUUGUUGCCAUCGGUUCGGCCGGGAACUCAAAGGAGACUGCCGUUGAUAAAGCGGAGGAAGGUGGGGACGACGUCAAGUCAUCAUGGCCCUUACGACCAGGGCUACACACGUGCUACAAUGGCGUAUACAAAGGGAGGCGACCUCGCGAGAGCAAGCGGACCUCAUAAAGUACGUCUAAGUCCGGAUUGGAGUCUGCAACUCGACUCCAUGAAGUCGGAAUCGCUAGUAAUCGUGAAUCAGAAUGUCACGGUGAAUACGUUCCCGGGCCU
rnacentral:rRNA from 1 species